rnacentral:rRNA from 1 species
GACGAACGCUGGCGGCGUGCUUAACACAUGCAAGUCGAACGGAAAGGCCCAGCUUGCUGGGUACUCGAGUGGCGAACGGGUGAGUAACACGUGGGUGAUCUGCCCCUGACUUUGGGAUAAGCCUGGGAAACUGGGUCUAAUACCGGAUAUGACCUUACAUCGCAUGGUGUUUGGUGGAAAGCUUUUGCGGUUGGGGAUGGGCCCGCGGCCUAUCAGCUUGUUGGUGGGGUAAUGGCCUACCAAGGCGACGACGGGUAGCCGACCUGAGAGGGUGAUCGGCCACACUGGGACUGAGACACGGCCCAGACUCCUACGGGAGGCAGCAGUGGGGAAUAUUGCACAAUGGGCGCAGGCCUGAUGCAGCGACGCCGCGUGAGGGAUGACGGCCUUCGGGUUGUAAACCUCUUUCACCAGGGACGAAGCGUGAGUGACGGUACCUGGAGAAGAAGCACCGGCCAACUACGU